UUUCCUUUGAUUUCAGGACUCAUUUAAUCCAGAGACUCAUCUGACCAGGUGGAUUCUCUCUACAUAAAAACCUACAAUCACAGCUCCACCCACAACUACAAUCCUGCCCACCUCUGCAGCCCCGCCCUCAACAUCAACUACUAUCUUUGACCUGACACCCUCUGAAGCCCUUCCUCCUUCAUCGCCUCCUGUCUCAGCCUCCUCCCAGCUUGUGUUCAGACUUGUCUGCCACCUGGUGGUGUUCUGUCCAUACUGCAUCUCCACUGUCCUCAUGGUUUCUUUAUAUCGGCGCAGGGCCGCAGGAAAUGACCUGCCUGUCUCCAUGGUGAUGACCCUGCCCACCCAGGCUGAGGAGGGAUUGGAGAAUGGAUAUGUCUGCACUGCUGUCACCACAGAGCAUCACUUCUGAGCUGAUCCAGUGUGUUCAGUGUGUUCUGGUUCUUAAUGAAGCUAAAAUGUUUGAGUCAUCAGCAAAUAAACCUCAGAUUUCCGUCAUAGAUCACAAACAGCAGAGGACCCAGAAUACUUCCCUGUGGAACUCCUCAUGUUGUAGUUUGACUAGAUGAUGUUAAAUUCUGGAUGUCAGACUUCAGCCGCAGCAUCAUUCUCGCUUUAAACUCUUCAAAUCUUUUACUGUAAGCCACUGUGUGAGAGCCAACAAGUCCUCCAACCUAAGCGUUAACAUAGGUUGUAUUAACCAUCCUCCAAAAAUGACUCAUAUGAGCGUAUCCUAAUAAAAGCGCCUCCAUUGGUGACAUUUGUCCAUGCCUCCUAAAUCAGCAAUUUCGUAUUUGGAUUCCUGACCAGACCUAUACUUUGUAGCGUUAGCUAACGUCCACGAACACAGAACUUUCUGGCACUUUAUAAUAUGUGACCGUCUUAGUCAUGUGUUUGAUGAUACAGCCACUAGAGAUCGCUGCCACAAAAAAUGUAAAUGUGAGUCCCUAUUUUGUGUAGCUAAAAUUGUUUAUAGUGGUUUUUCUUUGAAGGACAGGCUCAUGAGAGCUGUUUUAAGGAUUAACUCUGUCAGAUUUAUUGAAGCCUGAUCACUCAUAGAAAGACCGACUCAGGUGAACUUGAUUCAUGAUACAAAGCUGUCAAACAUGUUUUUGGUCCAAAUGAAAGCUGAUUUUUCAGGUUCCAGCUUAAGUUGUGUUGUUGAUGUUUGUUUUCACAUGUUUCAGAAGAAACUCUGCAGCUUUUAAAUCUCAAAAGAUGGAAAUGAGCUUUUCUCUCGGUGUUUUGUUCCCAUGUGAUCAUGUGGUUUUGUCUGGGGGUUCAUCAAUUCUCUCAUAUCAAACUGUUUCCUCACAGCAGCUGUAGAGAAAACCACACAGAGACUCUGACAUAUCGUCCAUCCAGAGGCUGCUGGGUGUGUGAGAGUUGAUCACUGCUGCUCCCAGUGUUCCACGGUCGCCUCUGUCUCUACACACCUUUGAAAGAAAUGUUACAGCCACCUGAUUUGUUUCACUGGCAGUGUUUGUUUCUGGGAGAUGUUGCGUUGUUUUACUGCACACUUACAUGAUGCAAACUAGUACAAACUGCGUUAAGGACCAAGUACCGAAUUGUCAUCCACCACAAUACCUCUGUUGGUUUUGAUUUACAUGUAUAUAUGAUUGUUUAUUGCAGUGUGGUGAUAUCUGCAGCCAAAAGUCAACAUAAAAGAUUAGGUUUCCAUAGUUAAGGUUUUUCUGAUCCACCUGGUUUUAUUCAAAAACUGAUUUUGUUUUAGAAAACCACCUAAAUAUCUGUAAUUGGAUUCCACAGGCAUGCGACCUCUGACAUGUACAGCAAUUGUAAAUCGCUUUGGAUAAAAGUGUCAGCUGAGAUGAAUAAAUGUAAAUGUUGAGUUGUAAUCAUUUCUACAAGCCA